AGUAUUAUGUCUGAAAAAGAAAUAAAUUGUAAAUUUAUUAAUGAAAAUCUUAGUUUUUCUAAUACUA
rnacentral:tRNA from 1 species